rnacentral:rRNA from 1 species
GACGAACGCUGGCGGCGUGCUUAACACAUGCAAGUCGAACGGAAAGGUCCUGCUUUUGUGGGGUGCUCGAGUGGCGAACAGGUGAGUAACACGUGAGUAACCUGCCCUUGACUUUGGGAUAACUUCAGGAAACUGGGGCUAAUACCGGAUAGGAGCUCCUGCUGCAUGGUGGGGGUUGGAAAGUUUCGGCGGUUGGGGAUGGACUCGCGGCUUAUCAGCUUGUUGGUGGGGUAGUGGCUUACCAAGGCUUUGACGGGUAGCCGGCCUGAGAGGGUGACCGGCCACAUUGGGACUGAGAUACGGCCCAGACUCCUACGGGAGGCAGCAGUGGGGAAUAUUGCACAAUGGGCGGAAGCCUGAUGCAGCAACGCCGCGUGCGGGAUGACGGCCUUCGGGUUGUAAACCGCUUUCGCCUGUGACGAAGCGUGAGUGACGGUAAUGGGUAAAGAAGCACCGGCUAACUACGUG